GGAGGGAGCAAGCGUUGUUCGGAUUUACUGGGCGUAAAGGGCGUGUAGGCGGCCUUGCAAGUCGGGCGUGAAAUCCUCUGGCUCAACCAGAGAACUGCACCCGAAACUGCUAGGCUUGAGUAUAGGAGAGGAUAGCGGAAUUCCUGGUGUAGCGGUGAAAUGCGUAGAUAUCAGGAAGAACACCAGUGGCGAAGGCGGCUUUCUGGCCUACUACUGACGCUGAGGCGCGAAAGCCGGGGGGGAGCGAACAGGAUUAGAUACCCUGGUAGUCCCGGCCGUAAACGUUGGGCACUAGGUGUAGGGGGUAUCGACCCCCCUCUGUGCCGAAGCUAACGCAUUAAGUGCCCCGCCUGGGGAGUACGACCGCAAGGUUG
rnacentral:rRNA from 1 species